rnacentral:rRNA from 1 species
UACGUAGGCAGCAAGCGUUGUUCGGAAUUACUGGGCGUAAAGAGUGUGUAGGUGGUGUCGUAAGUUUGGUGUGAAAUCUCCCGGCUUAACUGGGAGGGUGCGCCGAAGACUGCGAUGCUGGAGUAUGGGAGAGGAAAGCGGAAUUCCUGGUGUAGCGGUGAAAUGCGUAGAUAUCAGGAGGAACACCAAUGGCGAAGGCAGCUCGCUGGGACGGCACUGACGCUGAGACGCGAAAGCGUGGGGAGCAAACAGG